CCUACGGGAGGCAGCAGUGAGGAAUAUUGGUCAAUGGGCGGAAGCCUGAACCAGCCAAGUCGCGUGAGGGAUUAAGGCCCUGCGGGUCGUAAACCUCUUUUGCCGGGGAGCAGAGGUCCGGACGUGUCCGGGCUGGGAGAGUACCCGUACACAAAGCAUCGGCUAACUCCUUGCCAGCAGCCGCGGUAAUACGGGGGUUGCGGGCGUUAUCCGGUUUGAUGGGGUUUAAGGGGUUCGUAGGCGGGCAUUGAGGCCGGCGUUAAAAUGUGGGGGUUAACCCUCGGCCUGCCGUCGGAACUGGGUGCCUUGAGUGGGCGAGAGGUAUGCGGAAUGCGUGGUGUAGCGGUGAAAUGCAUAGAUAUCACGAAGAACCCCGAUGGCGAAGGCAGCAUACCGGCGCACUACUGACGCUGAGGCGCGAAAGUGCGGGUAUCGAACAGGAUUAGAUACCCCUGUAGUC
rnacentral:rRNA from 1 species